AUUGAACGCUGGCGGCAGGCCUAACACAUGCAAGUCGAGCGGAUGAAGGGAGCUUGCUCCUGGAUUCAGCGGCGGACGGGUGAGUAAUGCCUAGGAAUCUGCCUGGUAGUGGGGGAUAACGUCCGGAAACGGGCGCUAAUACCGCAUACGUCCUGAGGGAGAAAGUGGGGGAUCUUCGGACCUCACGCUAUCAGAUGAGCCUAGGUCGGAUUAGCUAGUUGGUGGGGUAAAGGCCUACCAAGGCGACGAUCCGUAACUGGUCUGAGAGGAUGAUCAGUCACACGGGAACUGAGGCACGGUCCAGACUCCUACGGGAGGCAGCAGUGGAGAAUAUUAGACAAUGGGCGAGAGCCUGAUCCAGCCAUGCCGCGUGUGUGGAGAAGGUCUUCGGAUUGUAAAGCACUUUAAGUUGGGAGGAAGGGCAGUAAGUUAAUACCUUGCUGUUUUGACGUUACCAACAGAAUAAGCACCGGCUAACUUCGUG
rnacentral:rRNA from 1 species